AGAACGAACGCUGGCGGCAUGCCUAACACAUGCAAGUCGAACGAGACCUUCGGGUCUAGUGGCGCACGGGUGCGUAACGCGUGGGAAUCUGCCCUUGGGUUCGGAAUAACAGCGAGAAAUUGCUGCUAAUACCGGAUGAUGACGUAAGUCCAAAGAUUUAUCGCCCAAGGAUGAGCCCGCGUAGGAUUAGCUUGUUGGUGAGGUAAGAGCUCACCAAGGCGACGAUCCUUAGCUGGUCUGAGAGGAUGAUCAGCCACACUGGGACUGAGACACGGCCCAGACUCCUACGGGAGGCAGCAGUGGGAAUAUGGACAAUGGGACGAAAGCGUGAUCCAGCAAUGCCGCGUGAGUGAUGAGGUCCUUAGGGUUGUAAAGUCUUCGUUUUACCGGAUGAUAAGUGAC
rnacentral:rRNA from 1 species